AUACUUAACCUGACAGGAGAGAUACCAAGAUCAUGAGGGUAGUUUUCCUUGACUGAGUCUUAUCCAUUAUACUCCAGAUAUGCUCAACUCUUUGAUUUCCUCAAAUGUGGGAAAUGUGACUGCAUAAUUUGUGAUAGUGGAGGACUGUGUCUGUGCUCUCCCCUG